CGAGGUGGAAGAGCAAGAUUGUUAGGAAGAGCAUUCUGGAAAUCAUUGCUUUGUAUCGCUUCG
rnacentral:miRNA from 1 species